rnacentral:sRNA from 1 species
GCCAUUCGCAGGGGGCGCCUGCACGGUUAAGAUUUCG